rnacentral:lncRNA from 1 species
AAUGAGGAUAAUAUGGUAAAUUCAUAAUUUUUCAUAUGAAAAAAAUUAAAAUUAAAAGAAAAUUUAGAUAAGGAUCCUAUUUUUAUGGAACACAACUAUCCAUUAUCUUUUUUAAUUCUAAAAUAAAUUUAAAUUUUUAAAAAAAAAACCUCUCGCAGGCGCAGAAGCGCGUGCAGAGAAGCUAGUAUAUAUUUAACAGAAAAAUAUAAGUAUCUACUUGGAAAAAAAAAAAUAGGCAAAUGUUUUCCGAUUGGAUUUGGUGUCCAUUGUAAAAAAGUCUGUCACUUUCCACGACAUUUUGAAAAAAUCAAGCACGCAGACAAUCAUCUCGUAUUCUAACACGUGGCGCAUAAAUGGAGCAUCUACGCAGUAUUUCUUUUCUUUAGGCAAAUUUCACCCAAAUAAUUCUUUCUAAUAUAUUAAUGUGAAGUUUUUGUCAUAGUCAUUGAAUUAAUGUGAUAUGAUGUUGCUUUUUCCCUACAGCUAGGGAAGAGGAGAGGAAUAAUCUCACACAUACGC